CUCAUAUAUCCGAUUCUCCCCUCAAACAACCCUAGUCUUGACCCAAAAUUGAAGAUGUUGACGAUGAUCCCCACCUAGAUGGAGAUUUCCCCCUGUUGUGUUGAAGAGCCCAAACGUUUUCUUGAGAAAAUUUCGCUCCUAACCUGGUUUUCUCUCUCGGCAAACAAACUUAGGAAAAUGACAUAAUUCAGACGAGGUAGAAGUGGGAGAGGUGGAGAGGACUGUAACAACCAAGUAACCCUCGUCAAGGAAUCGAAACUGAAAAUAGUGUUGCAGGAAUAAGGUUCUUCAACAAAGGAGAUGAUGCUGGCCGAGGAGAAGUUUGAAGGCAUAUUGAUAAGCAUUAUUAUCAUCUUUAUUGUCCAUCAUUACUACAACAUUAAUUUGCAGUAUCAAUGAGGGCAUAAUUCAUGGAAUAUGUACCCCAAAUACCAAAUAUAAAUAGGGCUAUCAUUUCACUCUAAAGGGACAAGAGAGGUUCAUACAAUACA